UGGGGAAUAUUGGACAAUGGGCGCAAGCCUGAUCCAGCCAUGCCGCGGGAGUGAUGAAGGCCCUAGGGUUGUAAAGCUCUUUCACCGGUGAAGAUAAUGACGGUAACCGGAGAAGAAGCCCCGGCUAACUUCGUGCCAGCAGCCGCGGUAAUACGAAGGGGGCUAGCGUUGUUCGGAUUUACUGGGCGUAAAGCGCACGUAGGCGGACUUUUAAGUCAGGGGUGAAAUCCCGGGGCUCAACCCCGGAACUGCCUUUGAUACUGGAAGUCUUGAGUAUGGUAGAGGUGAGUGGAAUUCCGAGUGUAGAGGUGAAAUUCGUAGAUAUUCGGAGGAACACCAGUGGCGAAGGCGGCUCACUGGACCAUUACUGACGCUGAGGUGCGAAAGCGUGGGGAGCAAACAGG
rnacentral:rRNA from 1 species